UGGUGGGCGCGUCCAAUAAUGACUGCGGGAUUCCGGCAAGUAACAUGACUAAAAAGAAGCGGGAGAAUCUGGGCGUCGCUGUAGAGAUUGAUGGGUUGGAGGAGAAGCUGUCACAGUGUCGGAGAGACCUGGAGGCUGUCAACUCCAGGCUCUAUGGGGCGGAGCUGAGCCCAGAGGCCAGGAGGUCUCUGGAGAAGGAGAAAAACAGCCUGAUGAACAAAGCCUCCAACUAUGAGAAGGAGCUAAAGUUGCUUCGGCAGGAGAACCAGAAGAACACACUGCUCUCUGUGGCCAUCUUCAUCCUCCUGACUCUUGUCUACGCCUACUGGACCAUGUAAGCCUGAGAUUUCUCCACAGUCGGCGCAGGGUUCCCUUCAGCUCUGAGGUCAUGGCCAAGCAGGCCCAUCAAGCCUCAAGAAGACCAAGUCCAUGCCACACUGCCUGUGAUUAUGGCAGGAAAAAAUCUGGCCUGCGCAGCAAAGGGCAGCCUGGGGACUUGAAGGGCUCGUGUGGUGGACCCACAGGAGUGCAGAAUUAAUCCAUCUUCAGGAGGCAGACAAGGCUGGUGAGGCCUGGCAGAGCCAGUGAGCAGCAAAAGCCAUGGUAAUGACCAGACUUAAGGUAAGCGGCCAGUAAACCAGGAGGGGUUUGCAGAGGGGCAAACACAGAUAUCAUCUGGUGCCCCCGAGCACAGCCCCCAAUUCUACUCCCAGCACAGGGGCCAGGAGGGCAACCAAAAGGAUGGGGGGGCUUGGGAGCCAAGAGCACACCAAUUAAGUUAGUAAAAGCAUGGAAAGGGGUUGCCCUGGGAGCUAAGGCUGUGAAACGUUAAGGGAAGGACACUCAGGGUCAGGGUGACGGAGCCAAGCAACACGUAGAUACCAGGCUGUAGGGGAGAACCUGCACCAGAGUGAUGGGACUGCUGGAGAGACGCUAGCCUAGAGCAGAGAGGGAGAGAGGCGCCAGGCGCAGAGCGGAGGAAAGGCUGGCCGGGGUCAGGGAAACCGUCCCUCCCUCUCUUUCCCUGUCUAGUGGCACUAAUUGGUCUGACGCCUCUGUUAUUUUAGUCACAGACUGAUCCUGGAUUGUCACAGUGCCACAUGGAGUAAGCUGUGUGAUUUAUAUAAAGGGGAAGGUGCCUCCCUGCCCUGCUGGGCUGUAGGAUCAUUCAUUCUCCAGUCCCUGCUCUGACCAGGUGCUGCAUCAUUCCCCAGCUCUUCCUUGGGCCCCUCUCUAGCAGCAAGCAGCAGCCUUGGGAGUCCUGAGCUUGGACAAGGCUCUGACUAAGCAAACCGUCUUUUCUCCCCUUUUCUUUAAGUAGCGCUUCCUCCCCCUCACCUCCAGUCCAAGCUGUUUCAUCCAAGUGAGUCCCAGACCACAAUGCACCAAGGACAAACAGCAGCAGCCCCUGUACAAAGCCACACAGGUAUUAAAAAUAUGUUUAUCUUUAAUGAGCUAAGAUUCUGCAAGACACACUGAUUUACCCAGAACUGGGUGGAAAUAACAGCAUCUCAGCUGUGCUGCUGACAAUGUGGGGGGAGGGGCCAGAGACCCCUGAGGUGGAGUCAGUUCUAACCUCAGGAGCCUCUGUACCCGAGCUCCAUGGAAACCAGUCUAGCACUGGGAUGGGGCCCUAGGGAGCCCAUAUGAGCAUCUCUGAGAGGUAUUUCCCAUUAAAAACAACCACAGGUGCCCCACCCACCCACCCAAAGCUACAGCCCAGCUUCCCCUCUUCCCCUUCUGCCUGCCGAGACAGAGGAAAUGGAGUGACCACGCAAGGACAAACAAAAGCAACAGUAUCUCUUAUUGGGGAAGAAGAACAAAGGGGGCGGGUAGCAAGGUGGCUGGGGAAAUAGGGGUGCCAUGACUGGCAGAGGACU